AUUGAACGCUGGCGGCAGGCCUAACACAUGCAAGUCGAACGAGUGGCGGACGGGUGAGUACUUUCUGGGAAACUGCCUGAUUGCGUGGGAUCACUACUUGCAACGGUAUCUAAUACCGCAUACCAUCAGAUGUUCCCCUAUGGGAUUGGCUUGUUGGUGGGGUAACUGCUCACCACGGCGACGAUCCCUAGCUGGUCUGAGAGGAUGACCAGCCACACUGGAACUGAGACACGGGCCAGACUCCUACGGGAGGCAGCAGUUGGGAAUAGUGCACAAUGGGCGCAAGCCUGAUGCAGCCAUGCCGAGUGUAUGAAGAAGGCCUUAGGGUUGUAAAGUACGUUCAGCGGGGAGGCGUUAACCGCAGAAGAAGAACCGGCUAACUCAGUGCCAGCAGCCGCGGUAAUUC
rnacentral:rRNA from 1 species